UACGUAGGGGGCAAGCGUUGUCCGGAAUUAUUGGGCGUAAAGCGCGCGCAGGCGGUUCUUUAAGUCUGGUGUCUAAGUGCGGGGCUCAACCCCGUGAUGCACUGGAAACUGGGGAACUUGAGUGCAGAAGAGGAGAGCGGAAUUCCACGUGUAGCGGUGAAAUGCGUAGAUAUGUGGAGGAACACCAGUGGCGAAGGCGGCUCUCUGGACUGUAACUGACGCUGAGGCGCGAAAG
rnacentral:rRNA from 1 species